rnacentral:rRNA from 1 species
UACAGAGGUCCCAAGCGUUACUGAGAUUCACUGGGUUUAAAGGGUGCGUAGGUGGCGCGUUAAGUCAGUUGUGAAAUCCCCGGGCUCAACCCGGGAAAAGCUUCUGAUACUGGCGCGCUUGAGGUCGGUAUAGGCUACUGGAACGGACGGUGGAGCGGUGAAAUGCGUAGAUAUCGUCUGGAACGCCAGUGGUGAAGACGGGUAGCUGGGCCGAAUCUGACACUGAGGCACGAAAGCGUGGGGAGCGAACGGG